rnacentral:lncRNA from 1 species
UCAUUCCAAAAUAAUAGAUCAUAAUCAUCAUUAAAAUCGAAUUCUCAAUUAAUUAAAAUCCCAUCAACUUCCUUUUUAAAUCAAAUUAAUUUCUCUUUCAAUAAAUUAAUUUGAUUUCCAAUUAAUUAUUAAAUAAAUAGUAAUAACUUUGUUCCCAUAAUUAUAAUUAUAAAUUAAUACUUCCAUCUCUCUAUUUAUAAUUUAAAUUCAUUAAUUAAUACCAAUAAUUACUUAAUUCCGUUUUUCUUUAAUAAAAUUUAUUUUACAUUCUCUUCAUCUUAUUUUUGGUUUUGGGUCUGUGGAAAAGUCACCUCCAGCCGCUCAAGGUCAAGUUUGGGCCUAGAGGCCCAAUUAUUUCUAACCACAGUCCAGACCAGAAACCCAAAGUUGCUGGUUUAGAGGCUUAACCGAGGCCCAACUCUGACUGCCACCCUGAGCCUUAGGCCGCAACUCACCACUACCACCCACGGUUGCUCCGCUGGUGCAACCACCACUGUCACCACAGACCGGAACCUUAACACGUAGAAACCGGCCACAAAACAUAGCAACUUGAUCGCGAGAUCAAAUCCCAAAGAUGCCACAGCACAAAUUCAAAAGAAUUCAAAACUUUCAAGAUCAAAGACGCAAAAGCAGAAACAAAAUCCCCAUUUGAAAACCUAACCCCAAUUUGCAAGAGCAGAUUCCAAAUUUCCCAAUUUUAGAACCAGGUUCAGGAACCCUAAAAAGUCGAAUCGGAUCGCGAUUCACUCCGCUGCUGCGCCGGCUUCCCUCGCAACGAGUCAUCGUCGCUUUCGCUCACAACAUCAUUAGCAUCGCCGUACUAUCGCUAAGUCAUCGCUACCUCUCCACCGUGCCAUUGUCGCGCUCUCACCGUGCCAUCGCAGUACCGUCGCUGGCCACUCACCUCCAUCACAGCACCCUCGCUAACCGAGCUCGCGAGAAAGGGGGAAAAGAAAGGGAAGAAACUUCGAGCUUCUGGCCAACACGUUCAAGGGAAAAGGAAGAUUGAAUGUGCAAAUGAGAGUAUGACCCCUCGAAGAGAAUAAGGUUGGACCCUUAAUUGGGCUCCACUGAUUCAAGCCCAAUUAGAAUCAAAAGAGGAAAGAAAAUAAAACUUUGGGCAUGAUAUAAACUAGCCCUAAUCCCAAUUAACCCUUAAUUAAAAAAUAUCCGAAACCCUAAUUUUUAUCUUAAAUGCAAUUAAUUAUUGAAACCGUA